UGAACGCUAGCGGGAGGCCUAACACAUGCAAGCCGAGCGGGAUUUGAGACUAGCUUGCUAGUCUUAAUGAGAGCGGCGUACGGGUGCGGAACACGUGUGCAACCUGCCUUUAUCUGGGAGAUAGCCUUUCGAAAGGAAGAUUAAUAUCCCAUAAUAUAAUGAUUGGCAUCAAUUAUUCUUGAAAGCUCCGGCGGAUAGAGAUGGGCACGCGCAAGAUUAGAUAGUUGGUGAGGUAACGGCUCACCAAGUCGAUGAUCUUUAGGGGGCCUGAGAGGGUGAUCCCCCACACUGGUACUGAGAAACGGACCAGACUCCUACGUGAGGCAGCAGUGAGGAAUAUUGGACAAUGGGUGAAAGCCUGAUCCAGCCAUCCCGCGUGAAGGAUUAAGGACCUAUGGUUUGUAAACUUCUUUUCUACAGGGAUAAACCUACUCUCGUGAGAGUAGCUGAAGGUACUGUAGGAAUAAGCACCGGCUAACUCC
rnacentral:rRNA from 1 species